AUUGAACGCUAGCGGGAUGCCUUACACAUGCAAGUCGAACGGAGUGGCGAACGGGUGAGUAAUGUAUCGGAACUUGCCCGGUAGCAGGGGAUAACUCCGCGAAAGAGUAGCUAAUACCGCAUACUAUUGGAGCGGCCGAGAGCGGAGUAGCUGGUUGGUGGGGUAACGGCUCACCAAGGCGACGAUCCGUAGCUGGUUUGAGAGGACGAGCAACCACACUGGGACUGAGACACGGCCCAGACUCCUACGGGAGGCAGCAGUGGGUAAUUUUCGACAAGGGGGGAAACCCUGAUCUAGCCAUCCCGCGUGUGCGAUGAAGGCCUUCGGGUUGUAAAGCACUUUUGGCAGGAAAGCGGUACCUGCAGAAUAAGCACCGGCUAACUACGUGCCAGCAGCCGCGGUAAUUC
rnacentral:rRNA from 1 species